UAAUACGUAGGGUCCGAGCGUUGUCCGGAAUUAUUGGGCGUAAAGGGCUCGUAGGCGGUCUGUUGCGUCGGGAGUGAAAUCUUACAGCUUAACUGUGAACUUGCUUUCGAUACGGGCAGACUUGAGGCAUUCAGGGGAGAACGGAAUUCCUGGUGUAGCGGUGAAAUGCGCAGAUAUCAGGAGGAACACCGGUGGCGAAGGCGGUUCUCUGGGAAUGUCCUGACGCUGAGGAGCGAAAGUGUGGGGAGCGAACAGGAUUAGAUACCCUGGUAGUCCACACCGUAAACGUUGGGCGCUAGGUGUGGGGCCUAUUCCAUGGGUUCCGUGCCGCAGCUAACGCAUUAAGCGCCCCGCCUGGGGAGUACGGCCGCAAGGCUA
rnacentral:rRNA from 1 species